CAGGUGGACGCUGACAAGUCAAGAAAAAAGCAGAGGAGCACCUUUUAAAAGCUGUGCUGAAAGUUCUGAAACAAGAAAAAUGAACAUAGACCCAAGACAGAAGGAUUAACCUGAAACAAAUCACUGUUCCCUACCAUACAGGAGGUGGCAUUAUGAACUUGUUAGUGGGGGAUGUUGGAGAUUGAUGUUUGGAAGAUUACAUGGAAACACUGGAAGAUGAGUCAUGGUCGGUAUUAGUGCAUCAAAUGUCACUCUGCAGUUUGAACACAAAAGGUCUGCUAGAGGAAGAGUUUUGUGCUAUCUAUGUCUGUUCGCAAAGUAGUGCAUGCAGAAUUCAGCCAAGAUGCAGUGUUGCAUUUACGUGUAGAAUGGUGAAACCUUUCUCUUUGUCCACCCUUUUUGCCUUUUUUCUGAAUAAUGAUUUAAUAAUUUAGCAAAAUAUUUGACAAAGAAAGGAGGGAGAAAAUGGGACAUAUAGACUAUGAGUAAGGAUAAAUUUUUUUUACAACUUAAACCAGUUUGGUUGCAAUUAUUACUACUAAAGUUGGCGCAACCAAUUAAGUUAAAGUGGGAAAUUGCUUUUUCACAUGAGUGAUAUGGCUGUUCAAUAACCUUUUUAUUAAAUUAAUAAAUGUU